GACGAACGCUGGCGGCGUGCUUAACACAUGCAAGUCGAACGGAAAGGCCCUGCUUUUGUGGGGUGCUCGAGUGGCGAACGGGUGAGUAACACGUGAGUAACCUGCCCUUGACUUUGGGAUAACUUCAGGAAAAUGGGGCUAAUACCGGAUAGGAGCUCCUGCUGCAUGGUGGGGGUUGGAAAGUUUCGGCGGUUGGGGAUGGACUCGCGGCUUAUCAGCUUGUUGGUGGGGUAGUGGCUUACCAAGGCUUUGACGGGUAGCCGGCCUGAGAGGGUGACCGGCCACAUUGGGACUGCGAUACGGCCCAGACUCCUACGGGAGGCAGCAGUGGGGAAUAUUGCACAAUGGGCGGAAGCCUGAUGCAGCAACGCCGCGUGCGGGAUGACGGCCUUCGGGUUGUAAACCGCUUUCGCCUGUGACGAAGCGUGAGUGACGGUAAUGGGUAAAGAAGCACCGGCUAACUACGUG
rnacentral:rRNA from 1 species